rnacentral:rRNA from 1 species
GCUCUGUUGUUAGGGAAGAACAAGUGCGAGAGUAACUGCUCGCACCAUGACGGUACCUAACCAGAAAGCCACGGCUAACUACGUGCCAGCAGCCGCGGUAAUACGUAGGUGGCAAGCGUUGUCCGGAAUUAUUGGGCGUAAAGGGCUCGCAGGCGGUUUCUUAAGUCUGAUGUGAAAGCCCCCGGCUCAACCGGGGAGGGUCAUUGGAAACUGGGAAACUUGAGUGCAGAAGAGGAGAGUGGAAUUCCACGUGUAGCGGUGAAAUGCGUAGAGAUGUGGAGGAACACCAGUGGCGAAGGCGACUCUCUGGUCUGUAACUGACGCUGAGGAGCGAAAGCGUGGGGAGCGAACAGGAUUAGAUACCCUGGUAGUCCACGCCGUAAACGAUGAGUGCUAAGUGUUAGGGGGUUUCCGCCCCUUAGUGCUGCAGCUAACGCAUUAAGCACUCCGCCUGGGGAGUACGGUCGCAAGACUGAAACUCAAAGGAAUUGACGGGGGCCCGCACAAGCGGUGGAGCAUGUGGUUUA